rnacentral:rRNA from 1 species
GACGAACGCUGGCGGCGUGCUUAACACAUGCAAGUCGAACGGAAAGGCCCUGCUUUUGUGGGGUGCUCGAGUGGCGAACGGGUGAGUAACACGUGAGUAACCUGCCCUUGACUUUGGGAUAACUUCAGGAAACUGGGGCUAAUACCGGAUAGGAGCUCCUGCUGCAUGGUGGGGGUUGGAAAGUUUCGGCGGUUGGGGAUGGACUCGCGGCUUAUCAGCUUGUUGGUGGGGUAGUGGCUUACCAAGGCUUUGGCGGGUAGCCGGCCUGAGAGGGUGACCGGCCACAUUGGGACUGAGGUACGGCCCAGACUCCUACGGGAGGCAGCAGUGGGGAAUAUUGCACAAUGGGCGGAAGCCUGAUGCAGCAACGCCGCGUGCGGGAUGACGGCCUUCGGGUUGUAAACCGCUUUCGCCUGUGACGAAGCGUGAGUGACGGUAAUGGGUAAAGAAGCACCGGCUAACUACGUG